CUACUCUGCAGGAGACAACCAAUAACAGCAGUAACAAGGAAGAGACAGAAACCUUUCAUGAGGAACACGUCAAUCCUCAGUGCUGGGAACCUGUCUUUGC